GCAAGUGACACGGGGUGCCGCGCAUAGGCGGCUGAGAUGAGACCCGUCGAACCUGAUCCAGUUCGUACUGGCGAAGGGAAUGUCCGAAUGUCUUACC
rnacentral:ncRNA from 1 species